UCACUUUCCAUCCCAAGGCCCCGAAUUCGUCCUCCGCACGCCGAUCUAUUCCUCUCCCGAUGCCUCUGCUCCCCACCUCCAUCGUCAUCGCGACCACUAAGGCCAUCGCUAUCUGUCCCCUCUCGCAUUUGUUCUUCCUCCGAUCGAUGCAUCCGCUCGUGGGGGCGCUGCUGGUGGGGGCCAGGGAGCGUUGGUGGUGGCCGUGCUAGGGCCCGACGGCGCGUCAUGCGGCGGCGUGGGAGGGCGCGCUGGAACUGGCCGUGUCGGUAGCGUCGUUCGCGCCGGAGACCAUGUUCGUGUGGGUGCUGGGCAGCGGCGGGUGCGCGGCCGGGUCGGUGCGCGUGCCGCUCGACGGCGGCGGGGACGAUACGAAUCUACUCCGCCUCCAGACAUCACUCCCUCCGCUCCUGCGGUCAUAUCUGAAGAUUUACCUACUAUUAUUUCUGAUGUUUCAUUCCCCAAGUCUAUGAUGCCUGAAACUUUAAAUGUUCUGUUUAGUCAUACUGUGGAUCAUGGCGAUUCAUGGAGAUCUUGUUGUGCCAUUUUCUUUUGCUGGCAUCUCAAGAUAGCAAUAUUGAAUGGCUUUAGUAACAUUUCCCUUUUCAAGGCAUAAUGUCCGUCCUGGUACUUGCACCGGACAUAAACUAUUGUAAAUAUAGUAAAAUCUUAUAUUUCUAUUGUGGGAUUUCACUCUUUGGUGUGUGACAGGCUGGCGGUUGUGUUUGCUGUCUCCAGUGUUUAGGUGGAAACUACAUAAUCAUAUUUGGUAACUUUGGGGAGAAGUUGGGAUUUUUGUUGGUAUGCAGGUGGAGACUACAGAAUCAUAUUUGCUAACUGUGUGGGAAAGCUGGGAUUUUUGUUGGUAUGCAUGUCAGAUACAAGACUAACCAAUGUGCAUGUAUUGCUCAAAUAUUUCAGUGGUCCUAUUACAUUACUGUAUUUACUAAAAACAUGCUCGGGCUCUGAUCGUACAACUUUGCACUAAUACUCCGGUAGGUCGGCCCUUCUAAUUUAUUCCUGAAUGUAAAUAAAUUCUAUUAAAUUGUCGGGCCUUAUUUUUUGUGCAUUAAUUAUUGACUUUUUAUUUUUCCAGACAAAUGUGGCCCUGCUUGAUGUUAGGUUAAUAAUUUUAUAUUGCUGACGGAUUAAUUCAUAUAGCUCUUUAACUUUUGGAAGAGAUAACUCAGAUGACUUAUGAGAAGAUGCUCUGAUAGAUGUGCAAUGUACCAAAAAAGAGUUCUUUUGGCAACAUAAUUUCAUGUAAUUUGUGCGGAGCUACCUUGAAAGAGCAAUAAAACUCUAGAAGGAGCAAGGACCACCACAUGGUGAACACUUGCACCUGUGCAUGAAGUGUGCCAGCCGUUGAAUGGCGUGGCACAUCAAGUCAGGGAAACAUUACUUUCUUCACUGGUCUCCAAUAUGUGCUUUUGCUUUCUCCCUCUUCCUUAUUUAUUAGAGCUUUUAUCAAUAUAUUUAAGAAAAGGCUCUACGCCUUUUCAAUCAGCUAUUUUGUCAAAGUGGAAUUUUGUGAGUUUAUGGAUGAGAAUUAACAAAAUAGUUCUUCCAUAUUUGUUACGUAUACAUGCAUAUAACAUGUAUCAUAUUUGUCGAAGGUGCCAUGGGAGCUAGCUUAUAUUUCAAAAAUACCAGUACAUCGUGUUCGUCCCUGAAUAUAUUGUUCGGUUUCCUUACUGUUCUCCUAUAAAUGGUUCAGUUUCCUUGCUGCAUUUUUUCCAGAUCUGGCCUAUUUUUUCAGAUGGCUUACCAUCUUUAUACGGCUUCAAUGCUGUGAAAAAACUCGCAUGAGAUUACAGUUGCAAUCUAUUAUUUGUCUAAUGUUUACACACAGGCGAAGUCACACGAGGCCAUCGCGGAUGUGUCCCAUGUUAUGUAUAUUACCACCGUUCCUAAGCAUACUUCUCCCAGGUUAUCGUUGAAACAACGAUAAUGCUAGAGCCUUGAGAAUUGUGAUGGAGGGGGUGGAGGAGCAGGGAGAAUGAUGACGUGUUGUCUUUUGUGCAAGAGGAGAGGGUGAUUAAGGAGAGGCACACACUAUCUUUCUUGCAAGAGGAGAAGGUGAAUAAUGAGAGACACGAGGAAUGAAGCGGUAGAGGGAAUCAGUAUUUGUCGCUAUGAAUGGAAACCAUGUGCAUCCCUGCUGGACACAUAAUUUUUCUUGCUACUAUACUAAUCAAGUCACAUUUUGUUCAA